rnacentral:tRNA from 1 species
AAUAGGUUAGUUUAUUGAAAAUGCAAGGUUGUCAAUUUUGUGAUACUUUUUAAGUACCUUUUA